rnacentral:rRNA from 1 species
AGCGCGGGAGCAAUCCUGGCGGCGAGUGGCGAACGGCUGAGUAAUAUAUCGGAACGUGCCCUGGAGUGGGGGAUAACGCAGCGAAAGUUGCGCUAAUACCGCAUACGAUCUACGGAUGAAAGUGGGGGAUCGCAAGACCUCAUGCUCGUGGAGCGGCCGAUAUCUGAUUAGCUAGUUGGUGGGGUAAAAGCUCACCAAGGCGACGAUCAGUAGCUGGUCUGAGAGGACGACCAGCCACACUGGGACUGAGACACGGCCCAGACUCCUACGGGAGGCAGCAGUGGGGAAUUUUGGACAAUGGGCGCAAGCCUGAUCCAGCAAUGCCGCGUGAGUGAAGAAGGCCUUCGGGUUGUAAAGCUCUUUUGUUCGGGAAGAAACGGUCCUGGUUAAUACCUGGGGCUAAUGACGGUACCGGAAGAAUAAGCACCGGCUAACUACGUGCCAGCAGCCGCGGUAAUACGUAGGGUGCAAGCGUUAAUCGGAAUUACUGGGCGUAAAGCGUGCGCAGGCGGUUGUGCAAGACAGAUGUGAAAUCCCCGGGCUUAACCUGGGAACUGCAUUUGUGACUGCACGGCUAGAGUGUGUCAGAGGGGGGUAGAAUUCCACGUGUAGCAGUGAAAUGC